UUCGGAUGUCUCUUAUCAGGGACACGGCACACGAAACCGCAUUGGUUUCCUUCAGGUCUGUUUCGUGUGCUGCAUUUUUGACGCAUUUAUUUAUUUGGUAUCGCAUGAACCCCAUCGUAAUUAAUCGGCUUCAACGAAAGCUGGGCUACACUUUUG
rnacentral:sRNA from 1 species